GCUAGUUAGUUUACUGACAACUUAAAAAAAAAAAAAAAUAAUUUUUAAUUUAUUUUUUUUUUAUUAAAAGAUUGUUUAUAUCGUUAUUAGAUUUGAUUAUAUGAGAUUAGAUUGUUGGUGAAAAUGAUAGUUUACCAAAUCUUAUCUUUAGUUGGUCUGGGAGGACGAUCAACCACAUUGGGAUAGAAAAUAAGGCCCAACUUUCUUCUAAGUGGCAGCAGUAGGGAAUCUUGGACAAUAUGCGAAAAGCAUGAUCCAGCGAUAUCGCGUAGAGGAUGAAGAAGUUCUCGUAAACUUUUAAUUCAUAUUAUGAGAAUAUCUGCCCUAAAUAUGACCAUAAAUUACGAACUCUUUUGAGUUAAAUAUUUUGGUAACAAAAUAUUUAAAUAACUUUGGUUUAUGGAAACAGUUUAGGGAUUGGGAAAAGGGUGAUUUAUAUUAUACAUUAAUAAUAUAAUACGAACUAAAAGAUGUCAUUAUCUUAUUUUCCGACGAAAGGUUUCUAGGCGAC
rnacentral:rRNA from 1 species